GCGCAAGCGCAUUUGCGACUUGCCGUUACCAUAGCGACGAGGCCUCCCGGCAGGCAAAUCCUAGCUGCCUUGACAACAUCCUUGGGCAUCUGCAGCUCCGGAGGCCCUGGAAACUGCCGGCCUUUGCAGAGCUCGGCCCGUGGUGUAGUUCCCAUCAUUCUCCAGAAGCCACACAACAGCAAGGGGUUGUAAGAAAGUCCUUACGAGUUUCGCCAAUAACUUCAGUCUGGAGUGAAUCCGAUGUGUCUGCUUACUAGCCAGAAUCCAUCUCUUGUGUAACUUGACAGUCAGUAGCAGACACCAUGUUGUACUGGAAUUGAGCCCAGGACCUUGUGCAUGCCAGGCAAG